rnacentral:rRNA from 1 species
UACGGAGGGCGCUAGCGUUGUUCGGAAUUACUGGGCGUAAAGCGCACGUAGGCGGCUUUCUAAGUCAGGGGUGAAAUCCCGGGGCUCAACCCCGGAACUGCCCUUGAAACUGGAUGGCUAGAAUCCUGGAGAGGCGAGUGGAAUUCCGAGUGUAGAGGUGAAAUUCGUAGAUAUUCGGAAGAACACCAGUGGCGAAGGCGACUCGCUGGACAGGUAUUGACGCUGAGGUGCGAAAGCGUGGGGAGCAAACAGG